rnacentral:tRNA from 1 species
ACUCAGUUGGUAGAGUACAAAGCUCUUAACCUUGUGGACGUGGGUACAAGCCCCAU